UAGUGGCGAACGGGUGAGUAACACGUGAGUAACCUGCCCUUGACUCUGGGAUAAGCCUGGGAAACUGGGUCUAAUACCGGAUACGACCAUCUGACGCAUGUCAUGGUGGUGGAAAGCUUUUGUGGUUUUGGAUGGACUCGCGGCCUAUCAGCUUGUUGGUGGGGUAAUGGCCUACCAAGGCGACGACGGGUAGCCGGCCUGAGAGGGUGACCGGCCACACUGGGACUGAGACACGGCCCAGACUCCUACGGGAGGCAGCAGUGGGGAAUAUUGCACAAUGGGCGCAAGCCUGAUGCAGCGACGCCGCGUGAGGGAUGACGGCCUUCGGGUUGUAAACCUCUUUCAGUAGGGAAGAAGCGAAAGUGACGGUACCUGCAGAAGAAGCGCCGGCUAACUACGUGCCAGCAGCCGCGGUAAUACGUAGGGCGCAAGCGUUAUCCGGAAUUAUUGGGCGUAAAGAGCUCGUAGGCGGUUUGUCGCGUCUGCUGUGAAAGACCGGGGCUCAACUCCGGUUCUGCAGUGGGUACGGGCAGACUAGAGUGCAGUAGGGGAGACUGGAAUUCCUGGUGUAGCGGUGAAAUGCGCAGAUAUCAGGAGGAACACCGAUGGCGAAGGCAGGUCUCUGGGCUGUAACUGACGCUGAGGAGCGAAAGCAUGGGGAGCGAACAGGAUUAGAUACCCUGGUAGUCCAUGCCGUAAACGUUGGGCACUAGGUGUGGGGGACAUUCCACGUUUUCCGCGCCGUAGCUAACGCAUUAAGUGCCCCGCCUGGGGAGUACGGCCGCAAGGCUAAAACUCAAAGGAAUUGACGGGGGCCCGCACAAGCGGCGGAGCAUGCGGAUUAAUUCGAUGCAACGCGAAGAACCUUACCAAGGCUUGACAUGAACCGGAAAGACCUGGAAACAGGUGCCCCGCUUGCGGUCGGUUUACAGGUGGUGCAUGGUUGUCGUCAGCUCGUGUCGUGAGAUGUUGGGUUAAGUCCCGCAACGAGCGCAACCCUCGUUCUAUGUUGCCAGCGCGUUAUGGCGGGGACUCAUAGGAGACUGCCGGGGUCAACUCGGAGGAAGGUGGGGACGACGUCAAAUCAUCAUGCCCCUUAUGUCUUGGGCUUCACGCAUGCUACAAUGGCCGGUACAAAGGGUUGCGAUACUGUGAGGUGGAGCUAAUCCCAAAAAGCCGGUCUCAGUUCGGAUUGGGGUCUGCAACUCGACCCCAUGAAGUCGGAGUCGCUAGUAAUCGCAGAUCAGCAACGCUGCGGUGAAUACGUUCCCGGGCCUUGUACACACCGCCCGUCAAGUCACGAAAGUUGGU
rnacentral:rRNA from 1 species